AGUGCUCGCGGCCGAGGAAUUGUUUCCUGCCAGCGGCAGCCGAGCUGCGUUCACGCGCUGAUCGGAGAAUGAGUGACAGUCCCAGCCUCAGCACACUCGCAACUCGGAGAUCCUUGCGCUGGCCCGGAGAGACAUACAACACCCUUCAGCAGAUCCCCUGGGAAGGAGGUGGGAAGAGACUUAAGUUAGAAGAAAACUCCGAUGUUUGGAAGAGAUUUCCAGAAAUAACCCGAAGAAAAUGUUUUCCUGUUUAUAAAUUCUGAAAUCUGUGGUCUCUUUAUUAAAAUAGCCAGGCUUUUAUAUAGGUAUUAUGAUAUAGAAGCGUCAUUAAAUAAUAUUUUCUUACA
rnacentral:lncRNA from 10 species